AUUUGGGAAAGAGAGAACCAGGUCAUGGUUAUUGAAAGUGCUUGAGUGAAAUACAAAAGCUUUUCUAAAAUGCAAAGUGGUUUUGCACCAUCCCCCACAUAUCUCACCUUGGCGUCUCCUGCUCCUUAGGAACCAGGUAAGAGCGGUUCAGACUGCCCUUUCUUGGCUCACCAGACCCGUCACAUUAGAAGGGAUUGUGUUCUGUGGUUAUGCUGGCUCACAGCUGCAUUUCUGCUGCAUUGCUCCACUCAAGGACCACAUCCCAGCCUGGGGAGGCUCCUGGUGUCCCCACUUGACCCGGACAUCCAUCUCAGAGUCUUUCCUCUCUUUCCACCAACCUUGCCAAGCUCCAGGUAUAUUCACUUUACGAAGAGAGUCUGUAAAGCAAAUUGAAGACCAGAAACAAUCAGUCUCAGAGCCCAGCCUCUCCAUGAUGGUUUGGGGAAGAAUCCACCGGAAAAAAGAGGGUUUCUGCUUCAGAGAAUGGACUGAAUUUUGGCCACAGUACUGUUUUUAAACACAGCAUUUAAGCAGCUCUGAAAAGUAAUAGAAUGUCUUAAAAAUGAGAUGAUGUUGGUUCCACAAGUUCAGGAUAAAGAUGCCAGGUUGGCCUCUUGGAGUAACCCCACAAGAUUAUUCUCAGUUUACUGAAAGAAGAUGGAAUUUGGAUCAGCAAUGAUUAUAGAGUUUUGAGUGGCUGAUGACUGGAGGAAUUUCCACGGACCAGCUACUGCUUCCAUAAUUUCAAGCCUUGGUGACCCCCAAUUCCACUGCAUUUCCAGGGCUACAUUUUGCAGGGAACACUUACGUGCUGAGAGGCUUCCAUCUGUGUGCUUCCAUAUCCCAAUGUUGCAUGAGGUGGCACUUGGGCAGAGGACUAUUUCUACAACCAUUUCCACCCCACAAUGAAUAGCAAUGACUUAACUAUGUACAGAGGGCUGCCAUGCCAGUGCUAUUUUGGUGAUACACAACUGAAAUUACGUCCUGAAGCUUGACCCAAGCUGCCUGAUACUUUGAGGCCCUGGGCUUAUAGCUGCCUAAGGGAAACCGCAAGUCACCAAAGAGGAGAACGCUGCCCCUGCUGAACCUGCAGUCUGGAGCAAGAGCAAGCAUCAGAAGUCUUGUGUCCCAGGAAUCCCCGCAGACCUGAGAAAAACAGAAUGGUUGAUCACCUUAGACCCAGCACAAGUACAGUUGUCUGUCACAGGCAGAAUGAAGACUCUUCUUCACACGGAACUAAAAGGCACAGUCUGACGUUGUAGUCUGUGAAGAUGAGGCACCAUGACCAUCGAAGUGCCUAUCUCCGUAACUGCCCUUUUAUAACCCCUGCCUCAGCCAUCCUCCUGAUCUCCCAUCCAUAUUCUCAACAACACACUGAGCCUAACAGUCACUCAAAAGGAGGGAAAUGUGCCUGUUAGGCAGGGGAAAAAAGUACUUCAAAUCUGCACCAUCCAAGGUUUCCAGACAAAGUCCUCUCUUCGCCUAUCUACCUAUGCAUCUUCCUAGCAAUUGAUUGAUCAAUCAUUGAUAUAUAGAUCUAUAGAUCUACAAAGAGAUCUUUAUGGGAAUUGGUUCAUACAAUUAUGCCGGCUGAGAAGCCCCACAGUGUGUCACCUGCAAGCUGGAGGAGCAGGAGAGUGGCAGAGGACAUCAGUCUAAGGCCAAAGGCUGAGAAGCUGGGGAGCUAUGGAUGUGUCCCUGGAGUCCAAGGUCUGAGAGCCUGGAGCUCUGGUGUCCAGGAGAAAAUGGAUGUCUCAAGCAGACUGAAUUUGAGCUGUGGCCUUAGAAAGCUCACUGGAGAACAAAUGCCACCAGGCUAGGAGAAGAACCAAGGACAAGAUGAGUGACACUCGAUAGAUGACCUUUGACAAAUGCCCAACCUUUCUUCCUCGGUGCUUCCAUAUGCAAAGCUAAAGGGAGAUCUAUGGGAACUGAAAGAUUCCUCAUGCGUUCUAGAGCUCCAGCCCUUUCUGAGGAACCAUGUGAGAAGAGAACAGUUACAGGAAGACUAUCAGUAAAUGUCAGAAGUCUUUGGUAUGUGAUAUCAAGGAAAUGGCCAGGGGUAACAAAAAAUUCGGAUUAUAAAUAGGAUGGAACAAACCCCACAGCACUGAAGACCAGGCAACACCUCAAAAUUAUGCAACACAGGAAAUUUCACAGCUCAGAUAAGAAGCAAACCUCUCAUUGGAUGUUUUUAUAACUUAUAAAACAUUGUCACCUAGAACAAUAGCUUUCAGACUGAGAAGCACUUGAACAUAAUAAUGUCCCAUUUGAUCCUGACACAAUCUUGAGUGGCAGAAAGCAUUGGUUCUACUGUCCCUAUUUUAUGGCUGAGAAAACUGAGUUUCCAAGUAAUUAAGGUCAUGGACUCUUUUUUCCUAAAUCUCUACAAUUUCUAGAGACAGUGGGGUCAGUGGAGUUUUACUGCUGAGCAUCCAUGUCAGAAGUAGGAGCCCUGGGUGGAAGGUGGUGGGACCCAUGGAACACACUGUGCCCCACAGGCUGGAGUAGAGGCCUGUGGUUGUGGUUGGCCUGCUUGGGAAAGGGCAUCCCUUGGCAUCACCAAAGAGAUGGCACAGUAGAUUUGCAGGUAGCCUGCUGUCUGUGUGCUGACUCUGCUAGGACUGUGUCCUAAUCUAGUCUCUUUCUAAAUGUUCCAAUGCCAGGUUUUGGCCUGGGAGGCUGUGGGGUACAAAUAAUAGGGGAGUCUAUGAGGACUUGUGCUUUCUUGCUGUAUGCUGUUAUGUGCAGCUGGGUGUUACUGUACCAUUUUUUGUUGCUGUUCAGAGAUUUUUGUACCCUAUGCAUUAUUAUUUCAAAAAUAGACCUGUAAUAUAUUCUUGCAUGCUUGAAUUUAAUUAUGACCAUUUUCACUGAAAUGGAUGUGGUUUUUUUAUUUCUGGCCAGGCCAGAUGAGAAUCCCUAAAGAUAGAUUUUUGAGUGAUGUCUAAGCCAAUUUCUUUGAUCUUUUUAAUAUUUAUAACCAAGGAGCUCUUCUCUAGGAUGGUGAUUUAUGACUUUGACAUACUUUCCCUGGCAUUCUCUGGGCACAAGGAAACAUGUGGAACCUCACAGAAGUAACUGUUCUGAGGAAUCCAGGUGGAGCCACACUGCCUCCUCCAAUCUCACUAGCAUCCCAGCAGGAUUCGGAAAGGUCACAUGUUUAGAAUUCUAGGGCUGUCUUAGGAUCACCCAGAACCCUACAUAAUCAUUUCAUAACUUGGAGGUUGUGGCAGGAGUAAACCAUCCAUACUGUGGCCUGCUCCUGUCUUAUUUGACCGGUUCAGCUUCCAAGGACAUUGUGGGCUCUGUAUUUUGUGUCUCAGCAGGACUUAGAACAACAGCUCAUAUGCCAUUCUGUCCUGCAGUGUUUCUGUUUAGCAACACCUCAUCAUCGUAAUGCUGCUGCCUAAAGUACAAGAGAAGUUUCAGGAACACAAACAAUAGCAUAUCUGUGCCCUCUGUUUGCCUCACUGUGACUCCCUUACCAGCUGCACCUGAGCAGGCAGAGCCCAUGCCCUCUGCUCACCUGUGGGUACUCGCCCAACUGUGGGCUCGGACUUAAUCAUGCCACCAGAAGACCUUACCUCUUUGGUGUAUGCUGUGGUUAGGAAAAGGAUGCCUCUCUUUGGAUUUGGAGCUCACUGCAUUUAGGGUGGAAUGUUUGGGUAGCACUGAUGGUGGAUGAGACUGCAGUAUUCAUUCAUUCGUUUACAUCUCUCUCCAGUCUUCUCUGACAUAGAAACUGAGUGCCCAUACUAGGCAUCCAGUGGUCAGCAUAGAAGAUAAUAGUUCAGAGGAGAGCUUCUGGUUCUGUGGAACAGCUCAAGGAACUUCAUCUAUUUCAUCUUCAGUGGGUUAGUGACUGCCAACAGCCUGUUGCUGUUCAAGGGUCCUCACUAAAUUUAGGAAGCUCUGGCCCUGUCCCCUCUUCUCUUUGGAGCCUGGACCUGGGUGGCCUUGAGUGAAGAGCAAGACCCUCCCAGAACCACUGUUCAUGCUCCCUGGCUAAGUAUUACACAUGGGAGGAGCUUGGGCGUGGAGCACUCUGAAGGCUGUGUCACCCUGCACUCCAGCCACAGAGGUUUCAUCACCAAAGGAAAGCUGAGCUGUGAGCUUGUUGCUAGGCGGUGCUGUUUAUUUUUAUAAACAAGCCUUGUGCUUAAUUUAGAAUUCUGCUUUUGCUUUUUCUU